rnacentral:ncRNA from 1 species
AUAUCAUUUUGAGGAAUUCUAACAGAAGUUUCUAUUGGUAGUGUAAGUUGGGCAAAGUGUCUUAUUUUUUUUAAAGUAUUUAAAAGUAAAAUUACAUGUUAAUACGUAGUAUUAAUGGCGAGACUCCUGAGGGAGCAGUGCCAGUCGAAGACCGAGGCUGAGACGGCACCCUAGGAAAGCGAAGCCAUUCAAUACGAAGUAUUGUAUAAAUAGAGAACAGCAG